GUCAGGAUGAUGAGGUCAUUCCAGUGUCUCCAUUUUUAAGGCUGCCAUUGGACAUGAUUGACCAAUUUCCAAUAGACUACAUGCACCAAGCCUGCCUGGGGGUUACAAAAAAUGAUCACAGAGUGGAUUAGAGGUGACCGGAAUGUGCGAAUGUCUGCUGGACAAAUUGAUGAAGUGUCCCAAAGGCUGCUGUCAUACAGGAAGAGCAUUCCAAGCAGUUUUGCAAGAAAACCAUGGCGUCUAGAAGACAUAGAUAGGUGGAAGGCAACUGAACUGAGGCAGUUUGCUGUGUACACUGGCAAGAUUGCAUUAAAGGGAAUUCUAGCUGAUCAACUGUACGACCAUUUCAUGAUAUUCAGUGUUGCCUUGGGCCUUCUUCUUUCACCUAACUUGGCAGUGGAAUACAACAGCUAUAGCUCUGAGCUGAUGACUUAUUUUGUUGCAAAAACAAAAGAGCUAUUUGGAGACCAUUUCAUGGUGUACAUCAUCCAUUCAGUGGUACAUCUACCAGCAGAGGCAAUGAAUUUUGGCACUCUUGAUGCUUGCAGUGCUUUCCCAUUUGAAAAUUUUCUUGCAAAGCUCAAGCAACUCAUAAGGUCAGGAAAACAGCCUCUUAUUCAAGUGGCUAAGCGUUUCGUGGAGAUUUCACAUUGUCCACAGACGCAAUCUGUGAUAGUCACAAAGUCCAAAAUCACAAGACCAAACAAUGCCUUUAUUCUUGGAGAAGGAAAAUGCUGUGAGGCCAUAGAAGAGAGAGAUGAGUUGGAUGAGUCUGGUUCCACGAAUUAUUGGCUGUUUUAAAGUUCAUUCAAGACAAUCAGUAAUGAAACUCGUCCCAGAAUGGCAGCUGACAAGAACGGCCAUAAUGGUGGAAAAAAAACAAGAGAUAAUUUUUUGGGCCAUCCUGCAAGCUUUAACUCGCGCUCUCUCUCUCUCUCUCACACACACACACACACACACACACAUGACAAACUUCAGACAAUCAAGAACUUAUCAUCAUUGUACCAAUCUCCAAUGUCUCCCUCAUGAUAAACAGGUAGGCCAAAGCGGACAGUAAUCACAACCUUUUAUCAUAAGAAAUAAGUUGUUGAAUGUAUUUGUUGUAUUAAUUAAUUAAUUAAUCUACUAAUUUGUCUGUUUGUUUUAUCUCUAAACAGAUGGAGACAAAAAAAUUUGCAUUGGUGGAAUUUGCAGAUGACAAUUCAGUGGAAAUUAUUCCCACCACUUGGUUGGAAGAAACCACUGAAGGAAUGUUCUGUUACUGGACAUUUUCCAAAACAAGGCAGUUGGUCUAAAAUAACGCACUGCCUGACAAGCAACAGUGGAGGCGAUUCCAAAUAAAGAGGAUUUGGCUAAAAACAGACUCAUAUACCAAAGCUGUCCAGAAAUGCUGUCAUGUUGCUGAGACCUCAAACACUGAAAGUGAGGACACAACAAAUAAAAAAAGGGCACACAAAAAGCCAAGUAGAUUUCAGUCUGACACUGAAAUCUCCU